AAUCUGGGGUCCCCGACCUCCGAGUUGUAAUUUGGAGAGGCAUCUUCGGGGGGGAGCGCCGGCCCAUGUUCCUUGGAACAGGACGUCACAGAGGGUGAGAAUCCCGUGCCAGGCCGGCUCCCUCCUCCCGGGUGAAGCGCCUUCGACGAGUCGAGUUGUUUGGGAAUGCAGCUCCAAGUGGGUGGUAAGUUUCAUCUAAAGCUAAAUACCGGCGGGAGACCGAUAGCGCACAAGUAGAGUGAUCGAAAGAUGAAAAGCACUUUGAAAAUAGAGUCAAAAAGUACGUGAAAUUGUUGAAAGGGAAGCGCUUGAGACCAGACUCAGGCCCGGGCAAACACCGCGCCCCCCGGGGCCGUGCAAUUGCCUGGGGCUGGGCCAGCAUCAGUCGGCGUGGCGGGACAAAGGUGCGGGGAAUGUGGCUCCCCUCGGGGAGUGUUACCAGCCCCGCGCUCAAUGCCGCCGACGCCGACUGAGGACCGCGCCUCGGCUAGGAUGCUGGCUUAAUGGCCUUCAGCGACCCGUCUUGAAACACGGACCAAGGAGUCUAACAUCUAUGCGAGUGUUUGGGUGCCAAACCCUUGCGCGGAAUGAAAGUGAGCGGAGGUGGGAACCCCCCAGCGGGGCGCACCAUCGACCGAUCCUGAUGUCUUCGGAUGGAUUUGAGUA
rnacentral:rRNA from 1 species